GGGCCGCUAGCUCAGUUGGUAGAGCAACGCCCUUUUAAGGCGUGGGUCACAGGUCCGAAUCCUGUGCGGCUCA
rfam:Sphaerochaeta pleomorpha str. Grapes, complete genome.